rnacentral:rRNA from 1 species
UAGUCAUAUGCUUGUCUCAAAGAUUAAGCCAUGCAUGUCUAAGUCCAAGCUGUGUUCACACGGCGAGACCGCGGACGGCUCAUUAAAUCAGUCGUGGUCCAAAUGGGCCAGUGCAAAUCCUACUUGGAUAACUGUGGUAAUUCCAGAGCUAAUACAUGCAACUGAUAUCCCGAAGGCGGUGUUGGGGCUUGCUUGCCUUGCGCUGCGCUGCUCUGACGGAUGCUUUUAUUAGACCAAGCCGCUGAGGACUUGAGGGUUCGCGCUCUCUUGUUUGACUCGUGUGAUGGUGACUCUGGAUAACCAAAUUCUGACAAGCGCACGUACUUCUCUUCUGAGCGAGACGGCGCUGCCACUUUCGAGUGUCUGCCUUAUCAGCUAUCAACCGUUCGUUAUGCGCGACCGAUGGCUUUGACGGGUAACGGGGAAUCAGGGUUCGAUUCCGGAGAGGCAGCCUGAGAGACGGCUACCACGUCCAAGGACGGCAGCAGGCACGCAAAUUACCCAAUCCCAGCAAAUGGGGGAGGUAGUGACGAAAUCUAACGAUGCGGGCGCCCUUUCUGGGGCCCCGCAAUCGGAAUGGGCACUUUCUAAACAACCUGUUGAGAACCUACU